UGUCACUGCUGUGCUUUAUGGCUUUCUAUUCCUAUGUGAAUUUCUGUAACAUUUCACGUAGGGGUCAAAGCCAUUGGGUACGGAGUGGAAA
rnacentral:pre_miRNA from 1 species